UACGAAGGGGGCUAGCGUUGUUCGGAAUCACUGGGCGUAAAGCGUACGUAGGCGGACCGUUAAGUCGGAGGUGAAAGCCUGGGGCUCAACCCCAGAACUGCCUUCGAUACUGGCGGUCUCGAGUCCGGGAGAGGUGAGUGGAACUGCCAGUGUAGAGGUGAAAUUCGUAGAUAUUGGCAAGAACACCAGUGGCGAAGGCGGCUCACUGGCCCGGUACUGACGCUGAGGUACGAAAGCGUGGGGAGCAAACAGG
rnacentral:rRNA from 1 species